GAAAAACAAGUAAUUUUUUUUUGGCCUGUAGCCUUUUUUUAGGUUCAUUAGGGUUCUUAGUGGUUGGAACUUCCAGUUAUCUCGGUAGGAAUCUUAUAUCCGUAUUUCCAUCUCAGCAAAUAUUUUUUUUUCCGCAAGGGAUCAUAAUGUCUUUUUAUGGGAUCGCGGGUCUAUUUAUUAGCUCCUAUUUGUGGUGUACAAUUGCGUGGAAUGUAGGUAGUGGUUAUGACCGAUUUGAUAGAAAAGAAGGAAUUGUUUGUAUUUUUCGUUGGGGAUUUCCUGGAAUAAAUCGUCGCAUUUUCCUUCGUUUCCUUAUGAGAGAUAUACAAUCCAUCAGAAUGGAGGUUAAAGAGGGUCUUUAUCCUCGUCGUGUCCUUUAUAUGGAAAUAAGAGGCCAAGGGGCGGUUCCCUUGACUGGCACUGAUGAGAAUCUUACUCCACGAGAAAUUGAACAAAAAGCUGCCGAAUUAGCAUAUUUUUUGCAUGUACCAAUCGAAGUAUUUUGAAAUGAAGAAUUAAUGUUUUCUCAGUAUGAGGGAGGGAACUUGCUAAUUCCCUUUUUAAUACAAUUGAAGUUUCUUCAAAAGACUUAUUUGAUCAAAACAUAUUAAUAUUAGAUUUUAUUUCUCCUUUCUGUUAGCGGGUAAACCCACAUGGAAUAAAACAAAAGUGGGAGAUUUUAUAUGGAACAACUAAACUCUAAUAAAAAUCCAUUAUUUUCUAUACCAAAACCCUUUUUUUUAUGCGCAGGGAGCCCCCAAUUUAUAAUUUAUACUAAAUAAAAUUCGAUAUAAUUUAUACUAAUAAAAAUAAAAAG
rnacentral:misc_RNA from 1 species